rnacentral:rRNA from 1 species
ACGCUCGACACCUACUGGAGGCAGCAGUGGGGAAUAUUGCACAAUGGGGGAAACCCUGAUGCAGCGACGCCGCGUGGAGGAAGAAGGUCUUCGGAUUGUAAACUCCUGUUGUUGGGGAAAAAGAGGAUGGUACCCAACAAGGAAGUGACGGCUAACUACGUGCCGNCNCGCGGACGUAUCNGNGGCGGNGNGAGAG